rnacentral:rRNA from 1 species
GUGCCAGCAGCCGCGGUAACACGUAGGGGGCAAGCGUUGUCCGGAUUUAUUGGGCGUAAAGAGCUCGUAGGCGGUUCGGUAAGUCGGGUGUGAAACCUCCAGGCUCAACCUGGAGACGCCACCCGAUACUGCUGUGACUAGAGUCCAGUAGGGGAGCGUGGAAUUCCUGGUGUAGCGGUGAAAUGCGCAGAUAUCAGGAGGAACACCAGUGGCGAAGGCGGCGCUCUGGGCUGGAACUGACGCUGAGGAGCGAAAGCGUGGGGAGCGAACAGGAUUAGAUACCCCGGUAGUCC